GUGUAUUUCUACCUCCUGCAAAUGGUGACCCCGACGUGGCCCUGAGAGCGCAGAAGACGCGGCAGGAGAAGCCCUGGUUGGAGGUACUGCUGUCGGCGGGACCGAAGCAGGGAAGCUGAGCCUAGGCUAAGAAGACACCUGAAAGGAAGCUGUAUGGGCAACAGCGCAGACAGGAGAAACAAGUCGACACGUCCAGCGACACCUGCGUUCAGCUUUUGCAGCACACGGCAUUCCACUUCAGAUAAAAACUGACAAUGGGCCAUGCUACAUCGCACAGCCAACUCAAAAGUUUUUUAGUCAAUGGGGUAUUGUACACACCACAGAUCACGGAACAAGAUGGGUACCAGCAAAGUGGGUAAAACCCUGGACA